GCUCCCAUGGCGUAGUGGUCACUGCACUCGCGUUGCACGCGGGAGACCUGGGUUCGAUUCCCGGUGGGGUCA
rfam:Asian citrus Psyllid, Diaphorina citri - Florida Strain, whole genome shotgun sequence.